GACAGAGGAUGCAAGCGUUAUCCGGAAUGAUUGGGCGUAAAGCGUCUGUAGGUGGCUUUUUAAGUCUGCCGUCAAAUCCCAGGGCUUAACCCUGGACAGGCGGUGGAAACUACCAAGCUGGAGUACGGUAGGGGCAGGGGGAAUUUCCGGUGUAGUGGUGGAAUGCGUAGAUAUCGGGAGGAACACCAGUGGCGAAGGCGGCUUCCUGGACCAGAGCUGACACUGAGGCGCGAAAGCGUGGGGAGCGAUCCGG
rnacentral:rRNA from 1 species